rnacentral:lncRNA from 1 species
AGUUAAAUAAAAUGAAUAUGAAUUUAUUAGUGUUAGUUGGGGGCAAUUUUUAAAAAUAAAUGAGUCUUUUGUAUUAGCGGACCAAGAAUCUCAAGUAUUUUAUGCUAAUGACAAUUCCAGUGUUGGCGUGUGGUGAGGAAGACGAAACCUCGUGAUUCUUAUGAGAUUGUGCAACAAAUAGAUGGCAGUACUGUAGAUUGAGAAAAUCCUUCACAAAAAAAAACGAAAAAGAAUGGAUGAGGUAAAACAUCUCUUUAUGUAUUGAUAUAUUAACUGUUUUACAUUCUGAUUGCAUGAUAUUUCUGUUAUUACAUUAUUUUCAUUAUGUCAUUCUUAUUUUGGUUUCUUCUGAUUAUUUUGUAGGCCUAACAUGAAAAGAUCAAAGCUUGAAAUUGAGGUUGGAUCCACUGCAAAGGCUACCAAAUAUGGAUUCCUUCCACCAGGUGCUCUAGCAAAGGGACGAGAGCAAGGGCUAAGAUCAGUGUGCUCUUUAGGAGCGUCUGGGAAUAAGGCGGAAUCCUUCCAUCAAAAUACGUUUCGUACUGCUCAAAGUAUGCCUAAACAUUCUACUUGUGAAGGAAGUCAACGUAUGUUAAUAUCUUCUAAUGGUACAAGAUCAAAUUCUCUCAUAUCUGUUGGUGGUCGAGUGCAAGCAGCAAAGAAAAGCUCCAUAGUUCCUGAAAAAGAGCAGAUGCAAACUAAUUUUUCAUUGCCUCCAUCUACUGAUAUUCUAUUCUCUGCAUCUACAAAGAAAAACUCAUUUGUUCCUAGGAAAGAUCAGAUGCAAACUGAGACUCCAUUUCCUCCACCCACUGAUCAAGUUAUGCAAAAAGUUGAAACAUGUAUGGUUUGACAGAUUUACUUGAGACAUACAAUAGUUUUAGAUAUUACUAAAUCGUGCAACGCAGGUUCAGGUACUACUGAAAAGGUAAAAAAAGUAAAAGGAAGGAACAAGUGUAAAGAAGUUGCAUCACUUGAAGUUGGACAAAAGUUGAAAGUAACAUUUUACAAUAAUCGAACUGUUGGAAAGAAUAGCAGUCUAUUUUCGAGGCACUUGGGAAUAAUAGUUUGUGAUCGUAAUAUGUGUCCGUUGGGAGUAUCAUCAUGGGAUGAUAUUAAAGAAGAAAAACUAAAUCACAUGUGGGCAGCUAUUGAGGUAACAAAUGUGUCCAAUUUGUUUAUAAGUUACUUGCUAGAACUCAAAAUAUAUUUUCAGAACCUUACAAUUUUCUUUUGCUAAAUUAGUUUUAUCAAUUUCUUUUUCUAUGUUCUAUCAAUCAUGAAGGUUUUAUACGUUUUGCUAAAGUGUGUAUUAUGAUAUGUUUAAUUUAUUGUAUGAGAAAUUUGUGUGUGAUGACCUAGAUAUUCAUCGCAAUCAUAUUUUGGGAUGGACGAAAGAAUUGUGGAACAAAUGGAGAGGACAAUUGCAUGCAAAGUACGUGAGGGGUAAGAUGAUCCAAGAAACUCUUAAGAAUAUACCAAAGGGAGUGGACAAGAAACAAUGGGAGUGGUUGGUAAAAGAAUAUUUUUGUACAGAAAGUUUACAGGCAAAAAGCAACAGGAACGCAACAAACAGAGCUAAGUUGAAGAUGCCUCGUGAUAUUGGUUGCAAGCCUAUUAGAGCAAUUAUUUAUCAAAAGGUGUUAUCAUAUCUAUUUUUUUUUUAAAUAUUGGGGAGGCAUUAUUUGACAUUUUGACUUUAAUGUGAAGGGCGAGAAAAAUGGCAAUCCACCAGAUUUGGCAGCUAUUUGUUUUUAGACUCGCAAGAAGAACAAGAAGCUUGUUAAAUCCGAGACAAUUGUAAAACAUGUGCGUUUUAUUAAUUAAACAUGUAAGAACUUUUAGUUAUUGGUUCUAAUGGAAAAUUUUCUUUAUAUAUUUUAAAGGCUCAAAUCUAAGAAUUGGUGCAGCCCGAACCAUCUCUUCCUAACAUAGAGAUAGUGUAAAAAUGCUUUGGACCUCAAAUUCGUAGUCAUGUAUUUGGCUUUGGGGUGGAGUAAAAGCAAAAGACUUGAAAGAUGGUGGUUCCUCGAAGGCCGAAUUAAGAUCUGAGAUACGUUCAGUUCUAGAGCAAAACCAAUCAUUGAAGCAUCGAUUGUCUACUGUAUAAGAUGAGGUGAAAGAACUGAAGGAACUAAAAGAAUAUUUCUUAAGUCAACACUCUAAUGUCCAGCCUCUGGUGGCUCAACACGCUAAUGUCCAGCCUUCGGCAUCACUAUAUCAGGAGAAUGACCAUUGAUGAACAUACGAAGUUAGUAACAACUUACUCAUUUCAAUCAUUUUUUAGUUAAUAAAUAUUUGAAUACAAUACAUUGUUGCAAUUAGUAAAAUUCUCUUGCAACUAGUGUGUUACUUGGCUUAAAAGAUGUGUUUUAGUUGCACAACUAAUAAUGAGAUUGUUGCAACUAGUCUCAACUAUGCUGUUACAACUUGUAAGCCUGUUCUCAACGGGUGAACAUCUUAGACUGCUGCAACUAGUAUAAAUUACUGAAUGAGUUAGCAAGUUUCAUGUUACUAUAAUAGCUAAAGAAGAGCUUUUUAAAGCUGAAAAAUCUCCCAGUAGUUUUCCAUUUAACUUGUUGAUCAAUGAGUAUGGUGUUGUUACUUGUAUGGUGUUGCAUUAAAAAGUGGGGUGGUACCAAGAAAUAAAAUUGUGGUAUGUUUGAGCAGACCAAGAAACAACAAGUUCUUACUAGCAAGAAACAGAAUAAAUCUGAUACAAAAAACAAAGAUAUGGAUAAUAAUAAAGGAAAUACUGACGGUCUAUCUACUGACGUUAUAUGUUAUGGUUUGUAACCACUAUAUAACAUUAAAGAGGUGAACUUGUAACGACCCGGUCAGACGUUUUGGGAAUUUAAGUCCCGUUCGGCGGCAUAAGGUCUUGAGCAGCUUCGUAUUAUGUGUAUUGACUUGCGUGCCUGGUCGAGUUCAGUUACCGGAUGAUUCGGAGUCAAAUCGGGAGAAGGAUUCAAAUUUUGAAAGUUUAAGCGGUAAGAGUUGACCGGAAUUUGACUUUUGUGUUAACGGCUCAAGAAUGGGUUUUGGAUGAUUUCAAUAGCUCCGUAUGGUAAUUUUGGACUUAGGAGUGCGUCCAGAUUUGGAUUUGGAGGUCCGUAGGAUAAUUUGAAGCAUUUCGGCGAAAGUUGGAAAAAGUUGAAGUUUGGAAGGUGGAUAUGUUUGACUGAUAGUUGGCUUUGGUGAUAUCGGGGUCAGAAUGCGAUUCCGAGAGUUGGAACAGCUCCGUUAUGUCAUUUGGGACUUGCCUGCAAAAUUUGACGUCAUUCCGAGUUGAUUGAUAGGUUUCGGCGCGAGUUUUAGAAGUUGGAAGAUUUGAAAGUUCAUAAGUUCGAUUCAUGGUGCGAUUCAUAGUUUCGACGUUGUUUGAUGUCCUCGAGCGAGUCCGUGUUAGAUUAUGAAUCUUGUUGGUAUGUUUAGACGGGGUCCCGGGGGCCUCGGGUGUGUUUCGGAUGGGCUACGGGCCAUUUUCUUCUAUUUUUGAACUGCUGAAUCUGUCAUUUGGUUUUCUCUUUCGCGCUCACGUCUGUUUCUCUGCGUUCGCGAAGAGUAAUUUUGGAGGAAGGAAUAUUUGUUCUUCGUGUUCGCAUGCGUCCUUUCGCGAUCGCGGAAGCAAGCCCUUCCCUUCUUCGCGUUCGCGUAGUUAUGCCAUUCCGCUCUUCGUGUUUGCGCACUACUUCACGCGUUCGCGAAGAGCAGUCGUUGGGCCAUCAUACUUUUCUUCUCCGAGUUCGCGAGCGUGUUGUCGCGUUCGCGAAGCACAAACUGGACAGCACCCAUUUUUCUUCUUCGUGAACGUGAUUGUUCUUCUGCGUUCACGAUGCAUAAUCACCUGGGCAGCAGAAUAUAUUUUCCAAAUCGAGGGUAGGCCAUUUUUAUCAUAUCUUGACUUGUGGAGCUCGGUUUUUAGCGAUUCUUUGUGAAUUUUUCAAGUAAAUCGAUUGGGUAAGUAUUCUUCACUUAGAAUUUAUUAUAUUCCAUGAUUUUAUCUUUAUUUUUAUCAUUUUAUUUGUGUUUUGAGUUAAGGAAAAUGGAGGUUUUUAAAGAAAAUUUUCAAAAUGAAAAAUUAUGAUUUGAGGGACGAAUUGGUAUCAGAAUUUGAUAAUUUUAGAAUUGUUAAACUCGUAUCGGAAUGAGUGUUCGGGUUUUGUGAGAUUUGUCGGGUUCCGAGGUGCAGGCCCGGGGGUCGAUUUUUAGAUUUUGAUAAAGAUUUAGGCUUUAUGAUUCGGAAUAGUUUUAUGAGUUUUAUUUGUGCUUUGAAGUUAUUUUGAUUAGAUUUGAGCCGUUCGGAGGCCAUUUCACCUGAGAAGUUCAUUUUUGAGUAUCGGUCUGUCUUCUUUGAGGUAAGUAUCUUGCCUAACUUCGUGUGGGGGAACUACCCCUUAGGAUUUGAGUCUUCUUUGCUAAUUGUAGUCCGUGUACGCGAGGUGACGAAUACGUGCUCAGACUUAUUUGUAGGAAAUUAGCCUUUUAGGGUUCUUAGGCCCUUGUAUUCACUGAAUAUGCAGUUGUUCUUGUUAUGAUUACGCUUCUUAAUUACUAGUUUCACCUCUACCUGCUUAAUUAUAAUUAAUUGCUUCAUGAUUCACUAUUAUUGCUUAUUUGAUUCGUAUGUGCCUUAACUGAAAUUGUUGCCUUUCUAUUGCCAUGUUAUCCUUUUCCUAACUGCUUAUCUUUAAUUGAAAUUAUUACUAUCUCUUCUGUAAUUGUUCAGCCUUAAUUGAGGUUAUGAUUAUCCUUCCGCUGUUUCUUCUUAGUUGAAUUUGUUGAUCUCUUUCAUAAUUGCCCAACCUUGAAAGAAGUUAGAUAUCCUAUAUUUUGGUUGACUUGUCCUUAUUUGAAAUUAUUGGACUUGUGUUAGCUCCCUCGUUGUCGAACUAUAUUUUGUGGACCAUUGUUACAUAGUAUUUCCUUUCUUGUUGAGAUGUUCUUAUUAUGACUAGCAUUCCUCGAUUGUGGCUACUCCCUGUAAAUUAGUUCCUUUAUUUCUUUGAGUUCUGGAAUCUCUGAGUUGACUUAUUUGCCGUACCCUUGUAUUAUUGUCAUCGUUGUUGUUCUAGUUGUUGUUGUGAUGCACGAGGUUUCUGUCGUGCAAUUGUUGUUAUUGUGAUGCACGAGGUUUCUGCCUUGCAGUUGUUGUUAUUGUGAUGCACGAGGUUUCUGUCGUGCGAGUGUUAUUGGGUUGCACGAGGUUUCUGCCGUNNNNNNNNNNNNNNNNNNNNNNNNNNNNNNNNNNNNNNNNNNNNNNNNNNNNNNNNNNNNNNNNNNNNNNNNNNNNNNNNNNNNNNNNNNNNNNNNNNNNNNNNNNNNNNNNNNNNNNNNNNNNNNNNNNNNNNNNNNNNNNNNNNNNNNNNNNNNNNNNNNNNNNNNNNNNNNNNNNNNNNNNNNNNNNNNNNNNNNNNNNNNNNNNNNNNNNNNNNNNNNNNNNNNNNNNNNNNNNNNNNNNNNNNNNNNNNNNNNNNNNNNNNNNNNNNNNNNNNNNNNNNNNNNNNNNNNNNNNNNNNNNNNNNNNNNNNNNNNNNNNNNNNNNNNNNNNNNNNNNNNNNNNNNNNNNNNNNNNNNNNNNNNNNNNNGUGGGUUGUGUCAGGGAUUGAUUUGUGAUGACUUGUGAUGGCCUGAGGGCAUUCUUGCUGUUAAUGUUUGUGUAGUAGUACAUUUACCCGUGUGAGUUUUAUCUUGUGGAAAGUUGUGAGAAAACAUUCUAUGUGCUGUCCAUUUCUUUUCCUAUACUUACUAGCUGGCAUGAACCGUGUUAGGACACUUGCACAAGCAUACACGUAGUUGAGCACUCUCAUCGGUUAAGAGGUUUUCUUGAUAUUGCUGAGUAUAGAUGCACAUCCUUGUUACUUGCCUUCUAUAUGAGAAUGGCUCUAUUUGGCACAUGAGUCGUCAGUGCGGUUAUGAAGUGUAAUGAGGGCACAAGAUGCCCAGUGUGAGGGUUCAGGUAUUGGGACCCGUGAGUUGUGAAUAAUAUGAGGUUCGAUACCUCGUGGAGUUUAUUUACUAAAACCUAGUGUGAAAGUGGUUGCUUUCAUCUAGCUGUUACCUGCCCUUCUUUUAAUUGUGUUCAUCGGAUUUAGGUUGUGCUUCCGUUCGUUCUUCUAUGUCAUUACUAUGGUAUUCUGCUGGUAGUUGUUGUUUUCCUUUCUUACUGAAAUUACCGUAUUAUUUGCCAUUUCGCAUAGUCCUUAUGUAGAUAUCAUACUCUAUUGUUCCUAUACUUAUACUUGUUCAGGUUAUUUAGUCCAGUAGGUGUCUUAACUGUACCUCGUCACCACUCCACUGAGGUUAGUCUUGAUACUUACUGGGUACCGUCGUGGUAUACUCAUACUACACUUCUGCAUAUUUUUGUGCAAAUUCAGAUAUUUCGAAGUCCGUUGAUCAUUAGCUAGUUGUGCGGAUUGUUGCUAUGGAGACUCAAGGUAAACUUGUUGCUACGUUCGCAGGUUUCGGAGUCACCUUCUGAUUUGUAUUCUCACUGUUUACUUUAUUUCAAACAGUUGUAUUUAGAAAAUUGUAACAAACUCUGUAGAGCUUAUGACUUGUACUACUGGUUUUGGGAAUUGUAAAUUUUAUAGGGAUUUCCAUUUCAGAAAUUGUUAGAUGUUAUUUAAUCAUUGUUGUUAUUCAGUAAAUAUUAGGAUUACUUAGUCCCUAAGACUAUGUGCCAUCACGAUACCUAACGGAGGGAAAAUUGGGUCAUCACAGAACUCUAAUUCACCAUCAACAAAACGAAUUCAAACCCUCUUAAAUAUACUUGAGUUAUUUUUUUUUGUUUCUGAUUAACCUCUGAAUUUCAGUUUGAUCCUUCUAAAUCAAAAGUAAAACUUCAGCUGUUCUGUAUUCCAUUAAUUGUUUAUCUUCAACGUGUUAUAUUGAAUGUAUGAAUGUGUUUCAUGUGGGUAUAUGGGAUUAUAUUCUCCUUUGUUAGCAAAUGUGUUUCACGGGAAAACAUGUUAGUGGAAAACUUAUAAUAUACCUUCUGACCAAAAAUGUAACAUGUUAUAAGUUAUAUGUUUGUAUACCAUAAAUGAUGUUCAUCCUCCUUUCUCUCUUUUGCUUUGAGACUGGUAAAAAAGAGUAAGGGGGAAUAAAUAUUCGGUCCCGUUCCUGCGUAUUACUAAAGGACAUGACUACACUCAGUAUAGGAAAUUGAAUGUGCUUGUUUUUGUACUAAAAUCCAAGUAUGCGGUUGAAAAAACUCUUCUUUUCCUAUCUAUAAUUUAUGGUUUUGUUUCUUGCAUGUGUAUGGUUAUUGGUUACAGAUUAGAGCAACUUGUACAGCAUUUCCUUUAUUACAUAUUUGGGACAAUCCUAUUACUCCCAGCACGAAAAAGUAUGUCCUUUGGAAGUCGUAAUCUCUUUCUAUGAGUUAUUAUGGAAGUAUAAAUUUUGGUUUUAUAUGUUCUCUUUCUGCUAACCUUCUUGGUGCAUUACUUUUGAAUCUGGCUCUGUUCUCACUUCUUGACUGAGGAUCCAUUUCCUUCGUAUAGUUUCAAAUACUAAAAGAUAAUUAAAGGUAUUGACUCUCUUAGUUUCGUUUCUGGCUUUGAUUAUGUAUGAUCUUUGCUGGUUGCUCUAUUGUAUAGAAUAUGAUCUUUUUUUGAAUUUGGACUUUACAGUCUUAUUUAAAAGGCAAGAACCCAUUUUAAUGCAUCGCAUAAUUGAUCUGCGGUCGCUUAAUGCGCCGCAAACUUUCCUCCAUACUUGCCCCACUCCUGAUUCACUCUGCGGCCAUUAUGCGGUCCGUAGAGUGAUUCUGCGACCGCAUAGUGCGCCGCAGAAAUGACCCUUUUCCGACAAAAAAUUUUCUUUACACAUUGGUGCAUUGUUAGACCCAAAAAGUCCGAGCCGCGAUCUACCUCAGCACCACAAAAACCUUUUCAACUUAAGUUUUUUUUAAACCUUCGAACUAAGUGUUCCAAAUCAUUCCAAACCUCACCGGACCCGAACCAAUUAACCCGGUAAAUCAUAAAAUAACUGAAAAUCAUAACUUGAGCAGUAAAUGAGGAGACGAAGUUGUAAUACUUGAAACGACCGACCGAGUCAUUACAGAAGCGGGUUCAGUUGAACCCACUUGAUCCUACGUGGGUCCGCCGCUGCAUGUACAUGAGAGCAUAUUCUUGUUUAAUUACUUUUAAUAAUUAAUACAAAAUACAUUGUCUAAACCCUAGCCUUCGAUAUCUCUUUUCCAAUUGUGUACUUCUCAAUACUGAAUCGGAUACUUUUGUGAGUUCAACAUUUCCUACGCAUUAAUUUUAAUAAAAAGAUUAGUAUACCAAACAUGCAAUCACAAUAAUAGCACAAAAAUGUCUCGAAUCUUUAAAAGAAAUGUUCACCGUACCCGGAGAAAGAGAGAGCUGAGAAAUGACUGUUAAGAUCGAGAAUCACAAAAUAGGUAAUCCGUCGAUUCCUCACAGAUAAGAGCUUUACAUGACUGUUCCUGUAUGAAUUUAUUGCUAUUCCUGUAUUUCAAACGGGUCACUUAACUUAGAGGCGGAAUUAGAUUUUCAAGGCUAACUGCAUAUAUCAACGAAAAGGAUUUAGGAUUUGAGCAAAUACCUGAUGGAGUCACAAUUAGUGAUUAAGGAUUUUGGGUCUCUAACAUAUGAUUCACAUUUUGGGAGCGGAAUUUGACAAAUUUGAGAUGAGAAAAAAUGGAGAAAUUUCGAGAGAGAAACAGAGCAAAGAAAGAUACGGCUGUGCUUCCUUCUUUUCAAUUAGGACUUGUUUAGUUUUUUAUUUUUCAAAGCCGAGAUUUAGAGGCGACCUAGUCGCCACAGAAUCCCUUCAGAGGCGACUACUUCAGAGUUGCCACUAAAACUUUGGAGUCAAAAUUUUUCCGUUAGCGGGAAUGAAAGAUUCAGCACAUAUUAGUGGCGAACUAAACAGAGUCUCCACUAAUAGUGUACCUACUAUAGGGAUAACAGAUGUCGCUAUAAAUAGUUUAACUUUUG